rnacentral:rRNA from 1 species
UAGGGAAUCUUCCACAAUGGACGCAAGUCUGAUGGAGCAACGCCGCGUGAGUGAAGAAGGUUUUCGGACCGUAAAGCUCUGUUGUUGGUGAAGAAGGAUAGAGGUAGUAACUGGCCUUUAUUUGACGGUAAUCAACCAGAAAGUCACGGCUAACUACGUGCCAGCAGCCGCGGUAAUCGUAGGUGGCAAGCGUUGUCCGGAUUUAUUGGGCGUAAAGCGAGCGCAGGCGGAAGAAUAAGUCUGAUGUGAAAGCCCUCGGCUUAACCGAGGAAUUGCAUCGGAAACUGUUUUUCUUGAGUGCAGAAGAGGAGAGUAGAACUCCAUGUGUAGCGGUGGAAUGCGUAGAUAUAUGGAAGAAUACCAGUGGCGAAGGCGGCUCUCUGGUCUGCAACUGACGCUGAGGCUCGAAAGCAUGGGUAGCGAACAGGAUUAGAUACCCUGGUAGUCCAUGCCGUAAACGAUGAGUGCUAAGUGUUGGGAGGCUUCCGCCUCUCAGUGCUGCAGCUAACGCAUUAAGCACUCCGCCUGGGGGAGUACGACCGCAAGGUUGAAAC